CCAUAGCCCCGAUAGAAGCGACAUCCUUUUUUGUUUUUCUACUUAAUUUCUACUGAUGAAUAAUCGUCGUAAACAAAAAAAAUACAGCGGAUAGCGGGAUUAAGC
rnacentral:sRNA from 1 species